UACGUAGGGUGCGAGCGUUGUACGGAAUUAUUGGGCGUAAAGAGCUUGUAGGCGGUUUGUCGCGUCUGCUGUGAAAAUCCGGGGCUCAACCCCGGACUUGCAGUGGGUACGGGCAGACUAGAGUGUGGUAGGGGAGACUGGAAUUCCUGGUGUAGCGGUGAAAUGCGCAGAUAUCAGGAGGAACACCGAUGGCGAAGGCAGGUCUCUGGGCCACUACUGACGCUGAGAAGCGAAAGCAUGGGGAGCGAACAGGAUUAGAUACCCGU
rnacentral:rRNA from 1 species